GCGCUAGUAGCUCAAUUGGAUAGAGCAUCAGACUUCGGAUCUGAGGGUUAGGGGUUCAAGUCCUCUCUAGCGUACCA
rnacentral:tRNA from 1 species